GUGAGUAUAUAAAUCGAGAGAAAAUUUUAUUUAACAUCAAUUCCAAUUUUGGUUUUAACGAAGAAAACAGAAAUGAAACUUCACACUCUUUUGCUAUUGUGUAUUACACUUUUCGUCAUGACCUUUAGUGUCCAAGCAUGUCAAAAGGAAAAUGAAUUUUGCAGCAGAACUAAACCUUGUUGUACUGGACUUAGAUGUAACAGCGGAAAAUGCCGACGAGGAGGCUAAACAAAAUUUUAAUUCUAAAUAACAAUACAUAAUGUAAAUUACAAUUACGCAUAUGUUUUUUUUAUUUAAAUUUUUUACUGUAAACCCAUUGCUACAAAAUAAUAAAAAAAAAGAAAAUAUUA